GACGAACGCUGGCGGCGUGCCUAAUACAUGCAAGUAGAACGCACAGGAUACACCGUAGUUUACUACACCGUAUUCUGUGAGUUGCGAACGGGUGAGUAACGCGUAGGUAACCUGCCUGGUAGCGGGGGAUAACUAUUGGAAACGAUAGCUAAUACCGCAUAAGAACAUUUACUGCAUGGUAGAUGUUUAAAAGGUGCAAAUGCAUCACUACCAGAUGGACCUGCGUUGUAUUAGCUAGUAGGUGAGGUAACGGCUCACCUAGGCGACGAUACAUAGCCGACCUGAGAGGGUGAUCGGCCACACUGGGACUGAGACACGGCCCAGACUCCUACGGGAGGCAGCAGUAGGGAAUCUUCGGCAAUGGGGGGAACCCUGACCGAGCAACGCCGCGUGAGUGAAGAAGGUUUUCGGAUCGUAAAGCUCUGUUGUUAAGGAAGAACGAGUGUGAGAAUGGAAAGUUCAUACUGUGACGGACUAACCAGAAAGGACGCA
rnacentral:rRNA from 1 species